GGAGAAACAACCGUCGGUUUUUAUGAAUGCUUUCAAAAGGGAAAUUCUCAAAAAUUUUAUGAUAGAUCAAAUAAAUAUAUCUAGCUGCACAGUUCCACUGGAUAAUCUAGCAACUUUGAUGGGAAUGUCGAAAAACCCUUUCCGCUUCUUUGUCACGAACGAGUUAUGUGAAGAAUUUAUGUUCCGACUAAUUGUGCCGGGUGCCAAGGCAAUUCUCACAGGAUAAUCCACAACAGCCAUGACUAGUUCUACCCAAAUUAUUUAUAAAUAACUGGAAA